AUUAACAAUAGCAAAAACAUAACAAAAUAAUGCCAAGUAUGCAGCACGUUGAUGUUGUACGUGUUAUCUCAACGGAUUGCAUACUUGGGAAAUUUUGUGAAUGUGUAUUAUGUUGCUGAUGU
rnacentral:precursor_RNA from 15 species